rnacentral:rRNA from 1 species
GAGCGAUCAAGUGCCUUAAGGGCGUUCGGUGGAUGCCUUGGCGCUGAGAGGCUAUGAAGGACGUGCUACGCUGCGAUAAGUCACGGGGAGCUGCGAAGAAGCUUUGAUCCGUGAAUUUCCGAAUGGGGAAACCCACCUUCGAUAACGGAAUUCCGAGACCAUGUUCACGAGGCGCACAGCCAGGUGAACGACGGGAUCGGAUUCGUCUGACCUCUAGACAUGCGCAAGCAUGUCUGGUUUCGGACUUCCGUUAUCAAAAGAAGGUAUGAGAUCCUUGAAUAAAAUAGAGGGUUUCAAGCAAACCCAGGGAACUGAAACAUCUCAGUACCUGGAGGAAAGGACAUCAACCGAGACUCCGCUAGUAGUGGCGAGCGAACGCGGACCAGGCCAGUGAUAAUCCUGAGACAACCGGAAACGUUUGGAACGACGUGCCUUAGUGGGUGACAGCCCCGUACGGGUAACGCGAAGGAUUAUCCUUGAGUAAGGCGGGACACGUGCAAUCCUGUUUGAACAUGGGGGGACCACCCUCCAAGCCUAAGUACUCCUCAGCGACCGAUAGCGAACAAGUACCGUGAGGGAAAGGUGAAAAGCACCCCGACGAGGGGAGUGAAAGAGACCUGAAACCGGAUGCCUACAAACAGUGGGAGCCCAAGGUUCGUCCUGGGUGACCGCGUACCUUUUGUAUAAUGGGCCAGCGACUUAAUCUGACGAGCAAGCUUAAGCCGAUAGGCGUAGGCGCAGCGAAAGCGAGUCUUAAUAGGGCGUCCAAGUUCGUCGGAUUAGACCCGAAACCUAGUGAUCUAGCCAUGGUCAGGUUGAAGGCAGGGUAACACCUGCUGGAGGACCGAACCGGUGUCUGUUGAAAAAGCCUCGGAUGAACUGUGGCUAGGGGUGAAAGGUCAAUCAAACUGGGAAAUAGCUGGUUCUCCGCGAAAGCUAUUUAGGUAGCGCCUCGAGUGAAUGCUUGGGGGGGUAGAGCACUGGAUGGACUAGGGGGGCUUACCGCCUUACCAAAUCCAACCAAACUCCGAAUACCCCAAAGCAAUACUCGGGAGACACACAGUGGGUGCUAACGUCCAUUGUGGAGAGGGAAAAAACCCUGACCUACAGCUAAGGCCCCUAAUUCGUGGCUAAGUGUGAAAGGAUGUGGGAAUCCCAAAACAACCAGGAGGUUGGCUUAGAAGCAGCCAUCCUUUAAAGAAAGCGUAACAGCUCACUGGUCUAAAUAAGGGUUCCUGCGCCGAAAAUGUAACGGGGCUCAAGCCACGAGCCGAAGCUUAGGGUGCAUUGAGUCUUCGGACUCUUUGUGCGGUAGCGGAGCGUUCUGUCAGCCGAUGAAGGCGGACCCGUGAGGGCUGCUGGAGGCCUCAGAAGUGCGAAUGCUGGCACGAGUAACGACAAACAGUGUGAAAGACACUGUCGCCGAAAGUCCAAGGGUUCCUGCGUAAAGUUAAUCUGCGCAGGGUCAGCCGGUCCCUAAGGCGAGGCCGAAAGGCGUAGUCGAUGGGAACCACGUUAAUAUUCGUGGGCCAGUGGGUGGUGACGAAUUCCGUAUGUUGUCUGACCUUAAUGGAUUGGUUGGGCCUCGAAGGAGUUCCAGGAAAUAGCCCCCACAUAGACCGUACCCCAAACCGACACAGGUGGACUGGUAGAGAAUACCAAGGCGCUUGAGAGAACUAUGUUGAAGGAACUCGGCAAUUUACCUCCGUAACUUCGGGAUAAGGAGGCCCAGUGCUUGGGCAACCAGGCAUUGGGGGCACAGACCAGGGGGUGGCGACUGUUUAUCAAAAACACAGGGCUCUGCGAACUCGCAAGAGGACGUAUAGGGCCUGACGCCUGCCCGGUGCCGGAAGGUUAAGAGGAGGGGUGCAAGCCUUGAAUCGAAGCCCCGGUAAACGGCGGCCGUAACUAUAACGGUCCUAAGGUAGCGAAAUUCCUUGUCGGGUAAGUUCCGACCUGCACGAAUGGCGUAACGACU